CUUUCCCACCAUGCUUGGCGGCAGGGAACCGAAACCCCGGAAAGCCGCUAAUGAAGGAGGGCGUGUUUAUAUGCGAAGCACACAGCAACAGUGUCAGAAACAGAGGAGGUGUUGGCUGUGUUCUGCUCCACAUGGUGUUGGCUAGAUCACUCAUGAGGCAACAUGCAAUGAGGAGCUAGGCUGGGGGGCCUCAGUGUUCUUCCACAUGUGUCAUCUCUGUCUCAUCUAGGAAUUCUACACUCCACCCCUCGGUGCAGCAGAGUUCCCUGGACUUCCAUGCAGCAGCUGGGUUCCAGAAGAAAGCCUUCCAAGAAGACCAGGCCCCAAAUGCAAACACUCACAAGCCUAAUUACUGCCACUAAAUAAUAAAAGAAGAAACUGCGUGGAUCAUCCUGGAUUUCAGAAAGUACACUAGUAAACAGUCUCCUCCC